UGCUAGUUUGCCUAGUUGCUAGUUUGCCUU
rnacentral:piRNA from 1 species